UAUUAUGCGAUGAUAAGGAAGAGUAAGUUAGCCCCAAUAUCCAGAGAGAAAGUGCCUUAGGCUGAAAGCACUUUUAUAUAUGACUAACUGAAAACUACCUUGGAGCAGAAGCUGAGUAUUCUAAUAAAGAAGAAAGGUUUUCGGAUGACUACCUUACAGUCUAAGAGUGGGCAAUAUUUGCCAACUUGGGUGGAACCGCGAAUGAAACUCUCGUCCCAAAU
rnacentral:ncRNA from 1 species